rfam:Myotis davidii contig224801, whole genome shotgun sequence.
GGUGCUUCUCGGGUGACACACCCCGGAAUUGGGCUCCCUCCUCUCUGGUUCCAGGUGCAUCACCCGAGAACC